CCUACGGGAGGCUGCAGUGGGGAAUAUUGCACAAUGGGCGAAAGCCUGAUGCAGCAACGCCGCGUGAGGGACGACGGCCUUCGGGUUGUAAACCUCUUUUAGUAGGGAAGAAGCGAAAGUGACGGUACCUGCAGAAAAAGCACCGGCUAACUACGUGCCAGCAGCCGCGGUAAUACGUAGGGUGCAAGCGUUAUCCGGAAUUAUUGGGCGUAAAGAGCUCGUAGGCGGUCUGUCGCGUCUGCUGUGAAAACUGGAGGCUCAACCUCCAGCCUGCAGUGGGUACGGGCAGACUAGAGUGCGGUAGGGGAGAUUGGAAUUCCUGGUGUAGCGGUGGAAUGCGCAGAUAUCAGGAGGAACACCAACGGCGAAGGCAGCACUCUGGGCCGGUACUGACGCUGAGGAGCGAAAGCGUGGGGAGCAAACAGGAUUAGAUACCCCAGUAGUCAA
rnacentral:rRNA from 1 species